rnacentral:lncRNA from 1 species
GAAUGCGAUGCACCGGUAUCAAAUAAAGCACGAACUCUAAUGCCAUCAAGUAAAAUGAUACCUGCAACCACAUCCUCGGCUGCUGCCGCCUCCUCGGUCUGAGCGGCGUACAUGCGCCCACUCGGGGCCUGUCGAGAUCCCUCGCUCUGGUGCUGGACGGAUGGCCGCCCAGGCUGGUACUGUGCCGACGGAGUCCCGUGGCUGACGGCUGGUAGAGCCGGUGCCGAUGCAGUCGACGGUGCCGGUGAAGAACCUCUCGGGCACUCGGUACGCACGUGGCCCUCCUGGCCACACUGGAAGCACCUGCCCGCCCGCUGUGGACACUGUGGUGGAUAAUGGGGACCACCGCAGAUCACACACGGGGAAGGCCGGCGCCGAUCGGAUCCUCCUCGCUGUGCUGCUGAGCCACGUCCACGGUGCUGGCUCCUCGGAUGCUUCGGCGGCCUCCUAGAGUGUGUCUGACUCGCACCCUCAGCCGCAGGCCUCUUGGCCUUACCCUUGUCCCUCGCAUCUCGCUGCUCCUGGACCUCUGCCGCGCCGCUCUCCACGAUGAGCGCGCGAUCUACCACCUCCCGGUAGGUUUGGAGGUUAGAGGAUUGCACGAACCGAAAGAUAGACGGUCUCAACCCUCGCUCGAAGAUGCGGGCCUUGUCCUCGUCGUCCAGCAUGACGAAGGGCACGCAAUGCAGAAGCCGAGAAAACUCCCUCUCGUACUCGGCUACAGUCCGGUCGCCCUGGCGCAAGUUGCGCAGAUCCUGCUCCAUCUUCCUCUUGACGCUGGUCGGGAAGUAGUGCGCCAGAAGAAGCUCCUUGAACCUCGUCCAAGUGAUAGAUGCCAAGUCAGUGCUGGGGUGCUCCUGAAAGUCCAACCACCAGCGGUAGGCCUCGCCGUCCAAGUGGUGAGUGGCGAGCCAAACUCGAUCCCUCUCCUCCACGAAGGUGUCGCGGAAGAGCUUCUCCAUAUGCAUCAACCACUUAUCCACGAUCCAGUGGUCAACUUUCUCGCCGUCGAAGACUCGGGGACUGCACCUCCUGAACUCGUUGAGGCGCUCCAUCAGUCUAUCUCGCUCCGCCCCCUCAACCAAAGUAGGGAAAGCUGCUCCAACCGGGGGCCUCUGCACAGGUGGUGCCACCAAGACCUCCUCCUGGGGUACGGCCGCAGGCGCCGCACGCGAAGAACUGGGCGCGGGGGACGGCGCUCUCGGUGCAACGUCCACAACUGGUGCUGGCGGUGUAGGGCCCUGCGUCUCCCUAGAAGCCGCUGCCUGCUGAGAAAGUAGAUCCUCCAGGCGCUUCAUCCGCGCCUCCUGUCGGCGCGCCGCCUCGGUCUGCUGUCGGGCCGCCUCCGCCUGCUGAGUGACUAGGUCGGUGAGGGCUGCAAGCUGGCCCCUCAACUCACGGACCUCGCUGGAUCCGGAGGUAGUGGAGGUCUCAACCUCCUCGAAGUUUGCCGCAUUGUCCGCCCCGGCAGACUGGGAGCGAGUAAUCGGCAUCGUCACUACAAAACAUAAAAGCGCAAGUUAGAAAUACUCACGCUAUCGCAUCCCCGCUCAAAAGACAAACCCCAAAUCAUGCGAAAGUAAGGAAGUGUCCUACACUACUAACUCCCGAUGUUACGUUGUCGGCCGCCAACGUAACCCUCCGCGAAGUUAGAAGCCAAACACUCCAAUCAACUCUAACCUUUUAGAGUUAUCAUAAUACCCAAUCAUGAUACUUUCGCUCACAAGUCGAAUAGACCUCGUCUCUCACGAGCCUAUUUCCUAUAGUCCAACCGGCCUAAGGUUUGCUAGGUCCCCUAAGACUCAACCCUAGGCUCUGAUACUAAAUUAAUUUGUCACGCCCCGGGACCCAGCGGAAGCCCGCCCGGCGCGUGUCCAGACCCGCCAUAUGUCUACAACAUAUAAGGCGUCUAAAAACAACGAUAAUAAAAGCAGUAAUAAGAGAUACCUAGGAGUAUCAGAGCAUAAUAAAUGUCUAAAUGCUACAACAAGGGAUAAGGAUAAAACUGUAAAUCCACUAAAUGAAACAUAGAGUAAGAACAAUAGGAAAUCCCAAAUACAAGAGUUAAAAGUAGGUACAUAGGUGGUCUCUAUACAUGGAUACAAAAUCUCUCACUCUCUCUCAACUACAAAAAGAAAGAGUAAACCACCUAGGCAAAGUACCGCUCCUCGCUAGCUAGCUAAGCAAUCCCCUUGCCGCGAUCCCGUGCCUCCGCCGGUGCCGAAGGCUCUGAAAAGUAAACCACAAAACGGGGGCAUGAGAACUAUUAAAAAUAGUUCCCAGUGGGCAAUUACUGACUUCAGUGAAUGCACCACAAGGCCCAAAGCUACAAAAGAUGUCAGUGACAAUAAAAGUAGAAAGGCGACAGGUAGGUGAAAAUGUAACCUACUACGACAUGAUAUCUCUACUUAGCAUGAAUAGCAAAAGUAUGAAAGCAACUAUGCAUGAAGUAAAUGUCUCCAACUAUCAUGAUGUCCACAGUGUGAAAUAGUAAAAUUCCGUUGUUUACUAUUCUAAUCAAUGUUCAAGUAGUAUACUAAGUCAUCAUCUGUCCACAUGUCAUAAUAGAUAUAUAAAGUCCAAUCUGAAGAGACCCACCCGAAGGCUGUCUGUGGCCCUGAGACCCACCCGUAGGCUGUCUGGCCGGUGUCGAGCCUAAUGGCCCCGUGGUAGUCAACACUCCCACCCUAGGAGUGAGCCUGGCCCACGGCAAUCCACUUCGGCGCCCAAUCCCGCACGGCGAAUAUGUAUCGCGAUGGCCAUCUCCGGAGUGCCGGCUUGUAGGGAGCGACCCUCACAAGCAUGUGCGAAUGAGCACAAUGGCAAGUAGUCAAACGAUCUGUCGCAAGUACCAAGUCCUCAUGUCUAAUAACAUGGUAUAUAGUAAAUGUCCUCGUGGCCAAGUCACUAUUUCAUCAUAUCUCAAAUAUGGAAUAUAGUUGAUGUCAAUGUGGCCUAUUAUCAAGUCUCUAUGUUGCAGUUUAAUAAUUUUCUAGUCCAAGUGCCUCUUUAUGACACUAUGGCUCAUUUUGUCCCGACAUGGAUACUAAGUUCGAGAACUUAUAGUUCUAGUCAAAAUCGAAGCAUGAAUCUUGAUUUCCUAUCAUCUCAUGGAAUAUUCGUCGCAUGCAUAUUAACAAAGCACAUUGUCUCUCUCUCUCUACUACAUAGAGUAAAUUUUCUUGAUGCACAACAUAUGAGUUCUAAGCAUUCAAAAACUCUCAUAAAUGCUACUAAACAUGAAUAUGCAUGAAUUUAAGGAGCAUGAAAGCAUUUAACCACUUAGGAGGAAUUUCCUCCAAUUUCAAGGAAGCCAAACCCACCGAUGACAACGAAACUCCUCGUGCGCUCCAACGAGGGUGUCCUCUAGUCUCCUAGUACCUUAGAGGUACAAGAACAAGUGUCAUCUAGUCGAAACAAACGACGCUAAGCUCAAUCAUUAAGCAUAUAGGGCUAGGGUAGACAAAAACUCACCGAUUGCGAAGGAAGCUCUCACAAUCUCCAAAUGGGAGCUAGAGUCCUUCCAAUCUAACCUAAACAAAGGUUCUAAACCCAUCAAUUUGAUACAAAAGCCCUCAAAACGAAAAUCCCCAAAUCUAACCCUAAAAUGCCAAAUCUAGGGUUUGAUCUAGUAAAAUCCAACAAAAUCCGAAUCUAGAGGAGAGAAAUUGCUUCUAACCUCUUAGAAGCUCCAAACCAAGCUCCCAAGUCCUCUAGGGUUGAAGGUUGAUCCUCAAACAAGCUCCAACCAAGAUCUCACACUUCUCCAAUGGUGGAAAACCCACAAAAAGUAAGAAGGAGAAGAGAAAAGAGAUCAAAACUAGCAAAAACCCAACAAAAAUGAAAAAGAAACCAAAGGGGAGGAGUUCUCACCUUAUCUUCUAUGUUCUAGGGCUCAAAAGAGCAGCCAUGAGGGCUGGGGUUACUUAUAUAGGCGUUGCAACAAUUGCAAAAACACCCCUCUACGAAACAGUCAAAAUCUGCACUGCGUACCGGUAUACGGGUUUGUGUACCGUACACUGCCCACGAAAUGCCAAACCCGAGCCUCGGGUUCGCUGGGAAAUGCUCUGUGUACCGGUACACAACCACGUACCGGUACAGCCAUCAACCGCGUACCGGUACAGCAAGCGAACCCCUACCGGUACACGGCCUGCUGAAGGCCACCCGAGAGCUGACCAAAAAUCCAACUUUUUGGAUUUUGGUACACAGCUUUAAACCACAAUUCUCGGGACUCGAACCAUAGGUCGGAACACUGUCAACGACCUACCAGAAAGUCUGGAAAAGCUCGACACACCCAAAGUCAACACACAUCGAGAGGUGCGUGCAAUUAUGCAAGGUCCAGUAGUGGUACAGGUGCGUAAUGGUCGGCUGGAGUCGGGAACGAACAUGGCAGGGUGCCGGAGAUCGAAACGGUGGUGGACGGUGCGUUCAGCUUCGGAGGCGACAGCAGGGGGCCUGAAGCGAGCUCGACAAUGGGUUUGCGUCGGACUAGGCUAUCGGGAGACCAGGACAGAGGGGGGCCGCUGGAGGGCGGAGCUGCGACAGGUCGUCGCGUGCUCGGAGCUGAUCGGGAAACGCGGACAGAUGGGGGGCGUUGGAGGCGAGCUUGAGCAGAUCGGUGCGGUCGGCUUGGAGGGCAGGACUAAGGGGGCCUUGAGGGAGCGGGUCAGACGAGGGCCAAGGUGCGGGUGCACUCGUUCGCAUCGGAUGCGGGCCUCGGGCUCGAAGAGUGGUUGCAGCUGGCGGGGCGACCUCGGUUGAAGACGAGGGAUGACAGCGGGUGGGUGAAUGUGAGCAGGCGUCAGUCGGUGGGAACCAAUGUCUCCUCAACAUCGCGGCCGUGACUGCUCACCGAGUUAGUGAUCUGGAUAAGCAUGACACAGAAUUGGGUGCGGUCCCGACGGCCGCGGCGAUGCAGGGGUCGGUGAGGAAGGAGGAGUUUAGUCGAUCAGGUGGCGGGCGAAGGGAGAUGAAGCGGCAGAGCUUAUUUUCCGCUAGGCGAACUGAGCCGCGGAUGACACCAAAACUCCGUACGCUUCUAAUCGUCCUCCGCCAGCGCCGUGAAGACCCCGAAACUCCAAUCGGGGACGCAGCAUGGCACGGUGUCGUCUCCGGCUCCACCGAAGGCGGUAGUCGCAGGGCUAGUGUUUGGUACUUGGUUCGCCAUGACUGAGGGGGAUUUCAUGGAGCGGUUCGGUUCGAUAGAGGAGUCGAGGAAGCGAUCGGAGCCGGGGAAUCGCUGGUGACGGAAGGCCUCCAUGGACCCGAGCCAUUGCAAUGACCGACGCUAGAGUGGCGGCGGCGCUCGGUCGAUGCGAAAGAGAGAGAAAGAGAGAAGGAGAGGGAUCCUUUACUUCUUUUUUUUUUUGCUUCUCUCUUUUUUUUUUGGCCGAGAGAGAUGGAGAGCUUUGAUAUAUUUUUUUUUUGAAACGGGAGAAAGAGAUAUAUUUCUUUUUUACCUUUUCUCUCUUUUUUCUUCCGAGAACGACGGACUCGAGUGGAUAUAUUUUUUUUUUUUGACUAGAUUUCCAAGAUUCAAAAAGGCUCUCCCUUUUUUUUCCGAUUUUUUUUUGAGAGGUAUUUAUGGGGUGAUUUGAGGGGGACGUGCAUACGAUUUGAGGGUGGCUGAGGAAAACGUGCGUAUGGGUGAGGAGGUUACGGGAUCGUGGGAUGGGGUCGUGGGAUACGGGUGGUUGUAACCGGUUUGAGGGAAACGUGCGAUGAGAAUCCGGGAUUGUGGGGUAUGGGUUGUUCGUAAUAAGAUUGUGGGGAAGAUUUUGUAUGGUCACGAUGGGAUUGUGAAAUAAUGGAUGGCUAUGGUGGAAUCAUGGAGAUAUUGGGUGGUUACGAUGGGAUUGUGGGAAUAUUACGGAUAGUCCGUUUCCUUUGCUCAUAUUACACCUUAGUCAAUACAAUAAAAUAUUAUAUGAUUAAAGCGGAGCAUUUUGUAAAUACAUGAAAGGGAAAGGGCUAAUAUGCUAUUUUUAAUACCCGUUCGUAUCUACGAGAACGUCCCACUUUUCGUAAUUUAUGCUCCCGGUGCAUGAGAUAUUUUCAAAAUUUAAAUUUUAUCCAUGCACCUGGUGCAUGGAUAAUCUCAUAAACCAUCUCUAUUUUUUUAUUUCUUUCUCUCUCCUUUUUUUUCUUUUUCUUUUUCUUCUUUUUUUUUUUCUUUUUUAUUCCUGUCUCUUUUUUUUAUGCUUCAACAAAUGCAACCCACCUUUUUCAGGCUUGUGAUUUAAACAAGGCGGAAAAAAGGUGCCGAUUUCCUUUCACUGUUCCAACCUUCAUAUCGCCAUCGAAGGUUUGAUCAUUAAAGAUCUCAGGUAUUUAUAUAUUUUUUUAUACCGAUUGAUCUCUUUUGAUGUUAUAUAUAUACAUAUCUGUAUGCAUGUUUGAGAUCUGUACGAGAUGUAUUUGACCCAUGAAUAGAUUGAUCAUGAUAUCUCUGACUUCAAAACAUCUUAUCUUAGUUCGUAGAUUUUACUCAUACGUUCCAUAUUGUAAUCCUUUUUCUAGAUCAUGGGAAAAACGAGCGAGCCAUUGAUUCAUCCCGAUGAUAAAACUUUAGGCGUAUUUAGAGGACUCUCUUUAAUGCGUUCACCUCCGAUAUUUGGACGUUCCGCCGAACGCGCAAUUCCUUAUGAGACGCCUAUGUUAAAAGAAUGGGCGAUAUUUAAACAGAAACAGUUGUUCGGUCGUUUUGGGGUUGACUAUUAUGCUCCUGAUGGUGACGGCAAUGUUAUAUUAUUGCCUCCAUUAGGUCCUCCGAAAGAAAGAGACACGUUACAAUCUCUCGGGUAUAAAAUACUUAAUGAUCACCCUGGAUGGUGUGGAAUGAGUAGAGUUUUUGGAGAUAGCAUUGAGGUAGAGGGUUUGAUUGAAUGGGGAAAUUAUAUUAUCUCUCAUUAUACUACUCAGUUACGUCGUGCUGGCAUUUUGGGGGGUAUCAUAGCUUCACGGGGGAAGUACAGUAAAAACAUCAAUAUCAUUAAGGCAUUGGUGGAGCUAUGGUGUUCGGAGACAAAUACUUUUCAUCUUCCAUAUGGUGAGGUUGGGAUUUCUUUAUGGGAAAUUAGAGAACUUAGUGGGCUUCCGAUUAUCGGCGAUAUGUAUGACGAAUAUAUCCCUCCAAAUUCUGAACUUUAUAAUAAAAAUAAUUAUCCCAAUUGCGUUAGGGAGCUUUUUGAUGUUUAUCAAUGGCUUAUGGCUCGAUCUUCUACCAAGCGUGUGCGGUAUGAUUUAUGGGUAAAUUUCUUUUACACAAGCUGUAAGAAGUUGAGUCGAUCUAAGUUUAGGAAUAUAAGCAAUACAGAACUCGCUCCCUCAUAUACAGAAGACACGACUCGAGCGGCCUACAUUUCAUUAUGGUUAUGCAACUUUGUAAUGCCUUCUGGGUUAGAUCAUUUCAUCAGGCCGGAGACAUUUAUUAUGGCUUCUAAGCUGGCGUUAGGUGAAAAGGUUUCCUUAGCCCCUGCCAUUCUUUGUGCUAUCCAUGCUGGUUUGUCUUUUAUGAGUGAUCAUCCCGAAGGUCUUGCGCAUCCUGGGCCUCAAUUUCCUGUUAAUUUUUUGUAUGCGUGGAUUGGUCUUCAUUUUGAACAAACUUAUUCUAGAAAAGUAAUCAGUGAUAAUAUCAAGAACAUUGCUGGCUUACGAAGCCCUCCUCAAAUGAUAUUUUUUAUGGAUGCGGCGGCUUCUCCUUUUAAUGCUAAGCGAGCACGGAUUCAUCUUAGAUCGAGCGCCCAUUUUGUGUGGGGUCCCCUGCCAUAUUUUUAUUCUUUUGUUAAUGAUGGUUGGCUUUAUGAUGCAAAAUUGGCUCCAGGAGAGUGUAAGUAUCCGAGAGAGGUCUAUGAGUAUAUAAUUUCUAUCAGACAGAGCGUGCUUCCACUUCGUUUGGGGAACAAAUUGCACACACAGCCGUAUAAUCCUCACCGUUUUGCUCGACAAUUUGGCUUCGAUCAGUCUUUUCCUGAAAGUAUCAAAGUUCCUAAGUUAGCGAACCAUCUUGGGACACUUGCUGGGUGUUGGAAUCAUUUUCUUCGAUAUGGCACUUCCACUAAUUAUUUUAUACCAAAGAAGGACCGGAUUGGGAAACCAACUUUGCAUUAUGCGCGCUGGUGGUCGAAUAGCGUGCAUUCGAGCUUCAAACACGGAGUAGGCUAUUUACUAGCUGUGGAUGAUCCCCGCAAGAAGAAGAAAGGUGUUGCUAUUGUUGGUAAAGAUUCUGAUUUUGAGGAGAGAUUAAACUCGUCAAAUGUUAGAGAUGAAAGGGUUCUGAAUAUUCCAGAACCAAAGGGAAAAGAACUGGACUUAUUUCCAGAAUAUGAUCAUAUUCAAGCUGAUCUUUCAGAUGACUCCCCUCAACGUGAAGUUCUUGGCCUCAGUUUUCCAAUUCAUGAAGACAAGAAAUCUGAGGUAUGUUCAUUAACAUUUUCAACUAUCUCUCUUUUUUUUAUUUUGCAUACUGAACUCCUUUUUUCUUUUCUUGUGUAUACAGGAAGUGCUUAUUACGGGUUCGCCUACCGGGGGUAAAAUGCACUUGCAAGAUCCUUUAACGAAGUCAAAGGUAUGACGUAGCAUCCAUAUGAUUCGAAUUUUGUUUGAUUCAUUCUGACACCCUUUCUUUUUAUAUAGGCAUGCGAUGUGGACCGUCAAGAAGUUCAGAAAAUCCACGCUUGGAUGUUUCAACUAAAGUGGCUCGUGGAAAACUUCUGGUAAGGACUGAGAUUUUUACAGUGCAACUAAACUCUCUGUUGACAAUGUUUAUGUGUGUAAUUUAAUUACAUAAGCACUCGUCAAGUUUCAGGAGAAAAUGAGCUAAGGUGGAGAAGUUAUGAGACCCGGAAGUUUGACUUAAGUGAAUAGUAACUCCGGUUUUUCGGAGAAGCCACGAAGCAAACUCGGCCUCUGGCGCGUACAGACCUCCAAACAUAGGACUCCAAUAGCUCGUUUCGAACCUCUCGACUAUACUGGAACCACUGGCGCUGACAGAAUCGGAUUCUGAUGCACGGUUAUCGAGAAAAAGGAGUUUUAUCAAAAAGAGGGUUUUUGUUCUGUGCUAUUCGUGCAGUUUAAAGCUCUUCGUACUCUGUGCAUGUGACCUAGAGUUGAGUGGAGGACGUUUCUAGUACCUACUGGUGGUAGGAAGCCCAAAUUUGAAUUUGAAUUAAAGGUUUAGCGAGAUUACACAUUGGUAUAUGUUUGUGGUUUCUGAAAAUUGAGAGCGGACGGUUUUCGUCGUGAAUCGGGGGUCAAAUCGGAUGAAACGAAUGCUAGAUUCGAUGCCCCCGACGUGCUGAACGCAAUGGUACUGUCGGAUCGAAAAUCCGACUGACGGAUCUCCGGAAAUUACGAGAAGUUCGCUGAGAGGUCGGCGAUGGCAAAACGGUAAUUUCGCAAAAGUGGCGAUAUUUUAUGUACCGUUUCGCGUGGAAUCGCACGUGGAGGGGUAUGUCGAGCGUUUUUCUAUGCUGUGGGGACUAGGAAUAAAUUGUUGAGUCUUGAGGACUUUUCGCAAAAAAUACAACUUACAUAUAUAUGUUGUGUGUUAGGUGGUUUGAUUGAACCGUAACCCUAAUCCGCCAACCCUAGUUCCCCGCCUCACUGUGAGUGUCCAUUUAUGCAUCUCCAGCCAUCGUUUCCCCACUUUCCGCUAACUAUUCCGGCAAUCCGAAUGGUCUUUUUAGACCUCGGAAGCUGAGCAACCGAUGAUUCCUUAGGUCGUCUGAACGUCGUGCUCCUUCCGUCGAGCCCCUGCGAUGCCGUUGGUUGCUCGGCAACGCGAUCUUCCUGCGGUGCCGCGGCUGCUUCACUGACUUUCGCGUCGCUUGUGCGCGAGCACCGCAUCGCCGAAUGCUGCUCCGAAUGGUGAGCACGGUCUCCGCACGCUGAACUAUCAGGCGGGGCGACGGCUUACCCCAGUCGACACUCGCUAUCCGCAAGAUCGGCCGGGCCAUAAAAACAACCUGUCGAAUAUCGCAUAAAAUAUAGAUUUUAGGGUGCAUGAUUGUGCUUUCCUCGCAAAUACCUUCGACUCCCGGUCGGACUGUGGCAUAGCGUGGUAAGACGCUGAGGGUACCUCUGGACUGAUCGUUCCAAGGCCCCAAGCAACUGCGGAGAUCGAAGAGCUCUUAUCGAGCGUUUCGCCGGCGAAAUUCGUACGACGGAAUGCGAUCAUUUAGUUCGGUUUUUAUCCGAGACGAUGCUCGGAUAAGUUGUGAUGAUCACAAGCCUUCUUGCAGGUCACCCGUGGUCGUUUCGGGGGUUCGAAAACGACGUGUGAGCGAACUGGUGGGGUCCGCGGGUGUCAAAAACACAUUCGGGAACCCGGAUUCGUACAAUUAUCCGGCGAUAAUUGUGUAGGGGUGUUAUCUUGUGUUUGCUGCCAAAACACCCAAAUUGGAGUGCUUUGGGGCAGCAGGUGACUCGUGACAUGAGUCGGUGAGUUUCGGGACGCUUAGUGGGUCCCGACGGCGUCCCGGUGUGGUUUUCGGGACUUCCGGCGAGUUAUGGUAAUCGGUAUUGGGAGACCGAUCUUCUUGAAAUUGUUUGUGGGGUUGUGGAUACUGUGAUUAUUAGUUGUGGGUUAGAUGCUAACCCGGUGGACCCUCUAUAGGUCCUGUCGACAUUCUUUUGCAGCCAGGAGACAGACGUGACAUCCUUACAGGUGGGUACUUCGAUUCGACGUCGGUACAGUGGUGCACGCUUGGUGAUGGUUUCUUACCCUUACUCUUCUGUUGUUACUAUCGCAUAAUAUAUUGAGCCUUGCACCCUUGUUUAUUCGUUAUACUCUACUCGUUGUUUGCAUACUUAGUAUCCUGAGUAGGAGUAGAGUAGUUCUAUCUUCAUGCGUAUCUGUUGACCUAGUUAGUCGAUUGUUGCAUUCAGUACUUGUUGACCUAGUUGGUCUGUUGUUGCGUUUAGUAUCUGUUGACCUAGUUGGUCGGUUAUUGCCUUUCCGUAUCUGUGACCUAUCGGUCGGUUCUUGCGUUCGUACUUUUAGUUGACAUCGAGCUGUAUCUACAUACUUUCUUUAUUUACUCUGCCUGGUUGUUCUAUGUGUAGUAUCCUGUAUAGGGGUAGAGUAGAUGGCAUUCGUAUAUACUAUACUUGUGACCUGGUUGGUCGGUUCUCCUAUUUGCAUCGGUGACCUGUUUGGUCGUUCGUUACUUUCCGUACAUUGACCUAUCUCGGUCGGUUCACGUUGUUACUUGAUGACCUACACGGUCGGUAUGCCCAGAGGGGCAGUGAUUGUCGGCUGAUUGCCGACAUUUGGCUAUUGAUCAUACCCGCAUUGAUCGCCACAGCUCGAGUGCAUUUCACGUACACCAGCGGGUUGAUCCCCCGCAGGAGGGUGUUCUUUUCCGAAAAAGUGGUCGUACAUCCGACCCGUGAGCCCAGCGGUGUUCUCUUUGUGUUAGGGUUACAUGUCAGGUGUGAGCAGGUAGUGGCUUUUGCCUGAGGUCCUUAGACCGACACGGCGGUUUAGAUUGGGUACUUUUGGACUUCUCGUCCGGUUGACGCAUAUAGCUAUAGUAGCGGUUGUUGCAUAUAUACUUCUAGUUCUUUCUUUACAGUUGUCUUGCUACUAUAGUUUUGAUAUCCUUGUAUGCUUGCAGUUGUACAUUACAGUAGCGGUAGUUGUGCUUUCAUAUAUAUAUCUCAUUUGUUCAUUAUCGUUUCUACUGUAUUUUACUUACCCAUACUGUUGUUUAUCUCUUCCUGAUCCGGUGAGUACUCCUCGCCUUCUUCGGCUUGCGGUACCCACUGGGAGGGGAGACAUGUUUACAUGUUCUCACCUCCCCCACUAUUUUUCAGGUAUUGCAGGCGUUGAGUUUUGGGACGAGACGUGAGGUACGUUCGUAGCGGUCGAUAGAGCUUCCGACCCAGGUUAUCGGUUUAGUUUUAUCCCUACUAUUCUGUUGUUAUAGCUUAGUCAGUUUAUAUAGUUCAGUAUUUUUAUUACAUUGGAAUAUGUGGACUUUCAUGAAUGUAAUAAAAGAAUUUCUGGAUUUGGUAAAAUAAAAGGUUUUCUACCCCUCGUGGUAGCUUUUAUAAAAGGUAAAAGUUUUCGCGUAUGGAACAGUUUUCAAAAGGCUUUUCGUGGACUAUUGUUUAAACAUCGAAUGUAAAACUACGGUGUGAAUGGUGAAUGUAUGAAUGUAUAGCUAUCUGUAUAUUCAUUUAGUUGUGGUUGUAUACUGUUUGUACUUUGUACUUGUGCGACGCCGUGCAAAUACAGGGGAGACUCUGUCCAUGUGAACAGUGGAUUCCCUGUAUUUGUGGCGGAUCUGGCAUACUCUGGGAUCAGGUUUUCAAAAAAAAAAAUUUUAAACGCUUUUCCGCUGUGUUUCAAACUAAAAGGGGACCCCGGGGCGUGACAACUUUCCAUUACUGUGUCUUCAAUGAUAGGUGAUCUUUAUGCGCAUUCUGCUUAUAAUUAAUUUCACAUGAUGUUGCCGCACUCAUCCUUUGUUUUUUUUUUUUAUUCACAGAAUCACAAGUCGGCGGGAGUGGAUCUAUUGAGGAUGACGUGUCUUCAGAUGAUGAAUUGGUUCCAACACUUUCGCCACCACAGGUAUUUUUGUUUUUCAGUUAGAUCCAUAUGCCUUUUUUUAGUUUUAAAUUAAGCAUUUGAUUCUCAACUAAAGAAGAAGGUAAGAUAUGGAUAAUAAUGUGUAAUUUUUCGUUAGAAAUCUGUAGCCACAAAAAUUUUGCAAAUCGGAGUUAUAACGAAAAUGUUAUGACCCGUUUACACUUUGGUCCCUGUAUUUACGAAACAGUCCCUGCGGGCAGUUUCAUUUCAGUCCCUGCAGUUUUAUUUCAGUCCCCGCAGCUUCAUUUUCCUUUACUUUUUGAUGCAAAUCUAUAUUCUAAGUCUUUCCUUUUUGUCUAAAGUUGCUCUCAAGGAAUUUCAUGGCUAUAGGAUUAUAAUGAAAAUGUUAUAACCUGUUUUACGAAAUGGUCCUUGUAGCAUAUAUCUUUAACUUUGCUUCGAAUAUCAAUAUAUGGUUCUUUUUGUCACAGAAUCCGUUCACCGAUGCUGCUGA